CCUACGGGUGGCAGCAGUCGAGAAUCUUUCACAAUGGGCGAAACUCUGAUGGUGCGACGCCGCGUGGGGGAAUGCAGGUCUUUGGAUUGUAAACUACUGUUAUGCGGGGGUAAAUCCCAAAGCUUGUAUCACAAGAGGAAGAGCCUGCUAAUUCUGUGCCAGUAGCUGCGGUAAUACAGCGGCUUCAAGCGUUGUUCGGCAUCAGUGGGCGUAAAGCGUGCGUAGGCUGUUGCGUAAGUCAGAGGUGAUAGGUUCGGGCUCAACCCGCGGACGGCACAUGAUACUGCGGGACUAGAGUUUUGGAGGGGGAGGCGGAAUGCACGGUGUAGCAGUGAAAUGCGUAGAGAUCGAGAGGAACACUGAUGGCGAAGGCAGGUUCCUGAACAUUGACUGACGCUGAGGCACGAAGGCCAGGGGAGCGAAAGGGAUUAGAUACCCCGGUAGUC
rnacentral:rRNA from 1 species